CUGGUACCCAAUGUAGAUUUCUUAAAAUUGGGGUGAUCCGUGUGAAUUUAGAACAACCACAGAUCAGCCUUGCACAAACAUUUGUGAUGUGCUCUCUCAUAUUCAAAUUCGAAUCGAACUGUACUCCAAGAUUUCUUGCACUAACAGAUGGUUCUAUUACAGAGUCUCCAAUUGAUACACUGUUUAAGUUGAUUUUGGAUGUCUGUUUAGGUGUGCCAAUGAUCAUUAAUUCAGUUUUACCAUCAUUAAGCAUGAGCCUAUUUUGCAACAUCCAUCCACGUACAUAGUCAACACAUGUUUCUAGGAGUGAGACACAUCGCUCUUUAGCAUGUUCAUCAGGUCUGAAUGAUACAUACAGCUGUGUGUCAUCUGCAUAGCAGUGGCAUGAUAUCUCGGGGAAAUUUGUUCGAACAUUUGAAAUGAGAUUAGCAGUGUACAGAGUAAAUAACAAAGGACCCAGCCGAGAACCUUGUGGAACUCCGAAAGGCACUGGCAAAUCAUCAGAGAUCACAUCGUCUAUUUUGACCUUCUGAUAUCUAUUCGCCAAAUACGA